GGUGUUGCUGAUAUAGAAAUGGCAGAUGCAUAUCCUUGAGAGAGAGAUUAAAGCCAUGGUACCAACUUGGAUCCAUUUCUUCGAUAACGACUCUUCCUAUUUCCACUCUGUUUCUGUUCUUUUCUUUUUUUUUUUUUGAUUUGUUUCCCUCUCUUCUCUUUAACUUAUCUCUUCCACUACUCGCAAUUCUAAACCGUUCUUUAUGUUGAGUAUACUGAAAAGAUUGGUUUCUAUAUUGUCGUUGAUUCAACGGGCUAGAUAGAAUUAGAGAGGGGUAUUGUAACAGUGUUACCUGGUCCAAUAUCGAGUCUUGAUUACUAUAUUUACAAUGUCACUUAUAUACUUGUUUGUACAUUAUAACUUUAAAAGAGAGUGAAGUACUCCAAAGUCACAAUUAAGUUCGACUUUUGAUGUUAUAAAAAGUUUACACGUUCUAGUCUCUCUUGCGUGUCCAAAAAGAUUACGGAUCAUUGUUCGAAAUUUCAUAUUCAUCUAGUAGUAAUAGGUCAGACUCAUGUGAAAUUUAUAUGUCUCCAUCUUCGUCUUGUCAAUUUAUCACUCUCAUGUAUUUUUCAAUCGUUUUUAUUUUUUUUGGUAUUCACUUCCGAAAAUGACUAGUCUUCAAUUUUUAUUUAUGUGGUGAUACGUUUCUGUAAAUGAUCUACGUACCUUCAUAAGAAAUGUGAAGCCUCAAAAUAGAUUUACCAAUAAUAGAUUUGUUUAUUUCAUUGGUGUUUACCAGUGAUUUUUAAAAUAAACAUUUAUGUUGUGUGUAUGCUUUGAAGGUUAGAACAAUUGUCACCACAGAUGUAGAUUGAUGAAAGUGUCCCAAACUCCCAAUGCUGGAAGGCUGAUACAAGUGAUCUCAUUGGUUAGGGAGCCAAGCUGAUACAAACCAGGCUGCGAGGUUACUUAUACGAUUAACUCCUUUAGGUUCCGAAUGGUAACCAUACCGCACUAUAAAAUCGCACCGCAACAGUGUUGUAAUAGUGUCAAAAUAUAUGCAUAUACAUAUAUAUCUAUAUAUUUUCGUUACUAUUUGAACCGCACUGUACUUCUCCCGCAAUGAAAAACGCAGUUACCAUUUGGAACCUUAAUCACGUG
rnacentral:lncRNA from 1 species